rfam:Toxocara canis scaffold2556, whole genome shotgun sequence.
CCCCCGUUGGCGCAGCCGGUUAGCGCGUCGUACUUAUAAGUGACUGAGAGAAGCGAAGGUCAGCAGUUCGAGCCUGCUAUGGGGCA